rnacentral:rRNA from 1 species
CGCGUAGGCGGUCUGAUAAGUCAGAUGUGAAAGGUACCGGCUCAACCGGUGACGUGCAUUUGAAACUGUCAAACUUGAGUAUUGGAGAGGCAAGUGGAAUUCCUAGUGUAGCGGUGAAAUGCGUAGAUAUUAGGAGGAACACCAGUGGCGAAGGCGGCUUGCUGGACAAAUACUGACGCUGAGGUGCGAAAGCGUGGGGAGCGAACA